UCUCCCGUUGGUGAACCAGCGGAGGGAUCAUUAUCGAGUUUAUCCAACUCCCAACCCUAUGUGAACCUACCUUUAUGUUGCUUCGGCGGUCUCGCGCCGGGUUGCUCCCCUGGGGGCUCCCGGGACCACGCGUCCGCCGGAGACCACAAACUCUUGAUUUUGCGAAAGCAGUAUUAUUCUGAGUGGCCGAAAGGCAAAAAACAAAUGAAUCAAAACUUUCAACAACGGAUCUCUUGGUUCUGGCAUCGAUGAAGAACGCAGCGAAAUGCGAUAAGUAAUGUGAAUUGCAGAAUUCAGUGAAUCAUCGAAUCUUUGAACGCACAUUGCGCCCGCCAGCAUUCUGGCGGGCAUGCCUGUUCGAGCGUCAUUUCAACCCUCGAGCUCGUCUUCAUUGACGGGAUCGGUGUUGGGACCCGGCGAGCGGGGACUUUUGUCCUCUGCCGGCCCCGAAAUUCAGUGGCGGCCCGUUGCGGCGACCUCUGCGUAGUAACUCAACCUCGCACCGGUAACAGCAUCGUGGCCACGCCGUAAAACCCCCGACUUUUAUAAGGUGGACCUCGAAUCAGGUAGGACUACCCGCUGAACUUAA
rnacentral:rRNA from 1 species